UUUCCGUAGGUGAACCUGCGGAAGGAUCAUUCAUAAUAAGUGUUUUAUGGCACUUUUUUAAAUCCAUAUCCACCUUGUGUGCAAUGUCAGGGUUGAUUUUUCUCUGGAGAGGAUCAGCCCCAAACAUCAACUAUAUCUCAACUCUUUGUCUGAAAAAUAUUAUGAAUAAAACAAUUCAAAAUACAACUUUCAACAACGGAUCUCUUGGCUCUC
rnacentral:misc_RNA from 1 species